GCCCUCGUGGCGCAGCGGAGAGCGCACCUGUUUCCGAUGCAGGAGGCCGCUGGUUCGAUUCCAGCCGGGGGCG
rnacentral:tRNA from 1 species